rnacentral:rRNA from 1 species
CACGUAGGCGGAUAUUUAAGUCAGGGGUGAAAUCCCAGAGCUCAACUCUGGAACUGCCUUUGAUACUGGGUAUCUUGAGUAUGGAAGAGGUAAGUGGAGUUCCGAGUGUAGAGGUGAAAUUCGUAGAUAUUCGGAGGAACACCAGUGGCGAAGGCGGCUUACUGGUCCAUUACUGACGCUGAGGUGCGAAAGCGUGGGGAGCAGACA